UACGGAGGGUGCAAGCGUUAUCCGGAUUCACUGGGUUUAAAGGGUGCGUAGGUGGGCUAGUAAGUCAGUGGUGAAAUCUCCGGGCUUAACCCGGAAACUGCCAUUGAUACUAUUAGUCUUGAAUACCAUGGAGGUGAGCGGAAUAUGUCAUGUAGCGGUGAAAUGCCUAGAUAUGACAUAGAACACCAAUUGCGAAGGCAGCUCGCUACGCGGUUAUUGACACUGAGGCACGAAAGCGUGGGGAUCAAACAGGG
rnacentral:rRNA from 1 species